rnacentral:tRNA from 1 species
GGGCCUGUAGUUCAAUCUGGGUCAUGAGUUAGAAUCAUCUACUCGGUGCAGAAAAGAACACACGACUGAAGAUCGUGAUGUUAUGGGUUCAAAUCCCAUCAGGCCCA